AGUGAACGCUGGCGGUAGGCCUAACACAUGCCAGUCGAACGGCAGCACAGAGGAGCUUGCUCCUUGGGUGGCGAGUGGCGGACGGGUGAGGAAUACAUCGCAAUCUACUCUGUCGUGGGGGAUAACGUAGGGAAACUGACGCUAAUACCGCAUACGACCUACGGGUGAAAGCAGGGGAUCUUCGGACCUUGCGCGAGUGAAUGAGCCGAUGUCGGAUUAGAUAGUUGGCGGGGUUAAGGCCCACCAAGGCGACGAUCCGUAGCUGGUCUGAGAGGAUGAUCAGCCACACUGGAACUGAGACACGGUCCAGACUCCUACGGGAGGCAGCAGUGGGGAAUAUUGGACAAUGGGCGCAAGCCUGAUCCAGCCAUACCGCGUGGGUGAAGAAGGCCUUCGGGUUGUAAAGACCUUUUGUUGGGAAAGAAAUCCAGCCGGCUAAUACCUGGUUGGGAUGACGGUACCCAAAGAAUAAGCACCGGCUAACUUCGUG
rnacentral:rRNA from 1 species